rnacentral:rRNA from 1 species
AUGCUAUUAGCUAUUCUGUGGAUUCUUCUCCAAACAGGAACCACCGAUUUACAAAUUUUAUUAACCACUGAAUUUAGUGAGCGGCGCCAAAUCCUUCUAUGGAUUGCUUUUUUCGCCUCUUUUGCCGUCAAAGUGCCUAUGGUACCAGUUCGUAUUUGGUUACCCGAGCAUGUAGAGGCACCUACGGCUGGAUCCGUCAUCUUGGCUGGAAUUCUUUUAAAAUUGGGAACCUACGGGUUUUUAAGAUUUUCAAUACCCAUGUUUCCAGAAGGGACACUUUGUUUCACUCCUUUCAUUUAUACUCUAAGCGCGAUUGCUAUAAUAUAUACUUCCUUGACCACUUUAAGACAGAUCGAUCUUAAGAAGAUCAUUGCCUACUCCUUAGUAGCCCAUAUGAAUUUGGUGACUAUUGGUAUGUUUAGUCGGGCGGCGGCCAUUAGGUCACCUAUUUUGAGUUAUGGACACACAAGCAAGGCCAAAACAUGUGUGCCGGGCGUGCGACCCAUCAACUUACUAGCAAUAGGGGAGAAAACUUAG